rnacentral:rRNA from 1 species
UACGUAGGGUGCGAGCGUUAAUCGGAAUUACUGGGCGUAAAGCGUGCGCAGGCGGUUCGUUGUGUCCGUCGUGAAAGCCCCGGGCUUAACCUGGGAACUGCGAUGGAAACUAGCGAGCUGGAGUGUGGCAGAGGGGGGUGGAAUUCCGCGUGUAGCAGUGAAAUGCGCAGAUAUCUGGAAGAACACCAGUGGCGAAGGCGGCUCUCUGGGACGGUACUGACGCUGAGACGCGAAAGCGUGGGGAGCGAACAGG